AGAGUUUGAUCAUGGCUCAGGACGAACGCUGGCGGCGUGCCUAACACAUGCAAGUCGAACGGUCUAAUGCUUAACACUGAGUGUUCAGUUUGAGUGUUAAGUAUUAGGUAGUGGCGGACGGGUGAGUAACGCGUGGGUAACCUACCCAUAAAGUCGGGACAACCCUUGGAAACGAGGGCUAAUACCGAAUAAUCUUAGACGCUGGCAUCAGUGUUUAAGGAAAGGUGGCCUCUGAAUAUGCUACCGAUUAUGGAUGGACCCGCGUCUGAUUAGCUAGUUGGUGGGGUAAAGGCCUACCAAGGCGACGAUCAGUAGCCGGCCUGAGAGGGUGAACGGCCACACUGGGACUGAGACACGGCCCAGACUCCUACGGGAGGCAGCAGUGGGGAAUCUUCCGCAAUGGACGAAAGUCUGACGGAGCAACGCCGCGUGUAUGAUGAAGGUCUUCGGAUUGUAAAGUACUGUCUUUGGGGAAGAAUGACUGGCUUGAAAAUAUUGAGUCAGUAUGACGGUACCCAAGGAGGAAGCCCCGGCUAACUACGUGCCAGCAGCCGCGGUAAUACGUAGGGGGCAAGCGUUGUCCGGAAUUAUUGGGCGUAAGGGCGCGUAGGCGGAUUUUUAAGUCUGGUGUGAAAGAUCAGGGCUCAACCCUGAGAGUGCAUCGGAAACUGGAGAUCUUGAGGACAGGAGAGGAAAGUGGAAUUCCACGUGUAGCGGUGAAAUGCGUAGAUAUGUGGAGGAACACCAGUGGCGAAGGCGACUUUCUGGACUGUAACUGACGCUGACGCGCGAAAGCGUGCGGAGCAACAGGAUUAGAUACUUUGGUAGUCCACGCUGUAAACGAUGAGUGCUAGGUGUAGAGGGUAUCGACCCCUUCUGUGCCGCAGUA
rnacentral:rRNA from 1 species